UUCAGAAGGACUCAGAAGUGUGAUUCUUGGACUUUGCCCGUCCCGUUCCUUUCCUGUCCCAAUUCCACUUCUAUGCCUGAGCUUUUCUUUCCUGUCUUCCCCUCGCAGGAGCCGUCGUCGGAGGCAAGCAAGGAUCUUCCUGACGGGGAGCAGGCUCUGGCGGAGACGGCGCAGGGGCCCCUCUUUGGGGGGUUCGUGCAGGACGGCGAGGAUGCUGCCACCUCCGUGGGAAAGGGAGACGGCAGAAGGACCCUCGAGAGUCCAUCACGGUCACCCUCGCUUUGUGGAGAAAUGGAUACCGUUUCUGUGAAGUCAGACCAGGUAGAGGAGGGGAUUCGAUCUUGUGUCUACUUUCUUAGUCCUGAAGGGGGCACAUCAUCUUCCUUUUUUCCACCUUCCUUUGGAUGCGGCUUGACGGUGGGGCAGGGGAACCUCCAGCCACUUCUCCAUUCAUUCUCCUUCGGGGACCCUGGCCUUUGCCUUCUAACCCGGAAACCUUUGCUCCUCCGUCUUCCAGGAUCUGGAGACCUUUGAGGAGAUGGCCGUCCAUUUCACCGCCUUGCAUGGAGGGGGCCUGGGGGCUUCCCGCUCCAAAGCCGAGCGCUCCACGGGAGGAAACCAGAGAGGAGAAGGGUGGAGCUGUGGAAGCCUGGGUAAGCCUCUUUCUUCACAACGCGAGAGACCUGCAGGAUAAGAUCACCAAAGUCUGCCCAGAAUCUUGAUUCAUGCCGCGGGGAGCCAGAUGUUUCAGGGGGAAGCAUCCUCACCUUCUACAGAGGCAUCCAUACAACCUUGGAGGUCGGUGGAGUUAAUCCACAGCCACAAGGACCAGUAUUGGAGGAGGCAGAACCAGGGGAGGGCAGGAUGAAGGGUGGCAGCCACAGUACGCCUACAAACAGAGAACCGCAUCCAUUGAGCAGUGUCAUAUAAAGCGAGGGUCACACCCUUUGGGGGUUUUCAGACUCUCGUGACAAGAAUCUCCUAAGCAGAAUCCUGGGGAUUCCAGUGCACAGACCCACACCAACAAGACACCUUCCAUUAGCUCACCUGGGGGAAAAGGGGCCUCAGAAGCUCCAUGGCCGUGCUUUGUUGUUGUUUAGUCCUUUAGUAGUGUCCGACUCUUCGUGACCCCGUGGACCAGAGCACACCAGGCCAUUCUGUCCUCCACUGCUGAGGGGAAAUCUGAAGGGCAAAUCCUUCUUAUGGGCCCUGUUGCCUGCUUGCAUUUUGCCAGAUUUCCCAUAUUGGUUUAAAGCAUUUUCGUUUCACUCUGACUGCCCAGCAGAGUUCCUGCAAAGUGAUUUACAGUGAAUUAAAAUGAAGUCUUUUUUUUUUUAAUUAUAAAAAUACUGAUUCAAAAUAUUUUAAAAUCCCAUUAAUAAUAUUCCUUAAAAGCAGAUCCAUCUGUCAAAGGACUCACACAUCGUCACAGAGACCAAAGGUCCUCUGGAAUGAGAGUCAUUUUAUUCAAUUAUUUGGAGCACUGUAACCCAGAGGAUGUGGUGGCGCUGUCGGUUAAACGACAGAAGCCUCUGUGUGCUGCAAGGUCAGAAGACCAACCAUCGUAAGAUCAAAUCCACGCGAUUGGACUAAAUGUCAAGGGGAACCUUUACCUUUACCUAGCCCAGAAAGACAACCUGUAGCUUUGUGAGAUCUCAAAACAAACAUGGAAUGGCUUACUGUGAGAUCACUAGCAAAAGAAAAAUAGGUUAGAUACCAGCUGCGGCCCUACCUGGACGAGUGGAGUCUCAUGACAGUCACACAUGCACUGGUAACAUCCCGCAUAGAUUACUGCAAUGCGCUUUACGUGGGGCUGCCUUUGAAGACGGUCCAGCGACUGCAACUGGUCCAGAAUCGAGCUGCGCGGCUGGUGAGUGGUGCAGCCGCCAGGGAACAUAUCAAGCCGAUUCUGUAUAAGUUACAUUGGCUACCAGUUGCUGCCCGGGCCCAAUUCAAAGUGCUUGUUUUGACAUAUAAAGUCCUAAAAGGCUUGGGCCCUGGAUACCUGAAGGUCCGCCUCCUUUUCCAUAUGAGCCUACCUGGCAGUUAGGAUCUAGCCAAGGGGCCCUUUUGAAAGAGCCGACCCUCAAGGAGAUAAAAGGGAGGGCUUGUAGACAAAGGGCCUUUUCGGCAGCUGCCCCCAGACUAUGGAAUGCCCUCCCGACUGAGAUUCGUCUGGCGCCGACACUGAUGACAUUUUGGCGCCAGGUCAAAACCUUCCUGUUCCAGAAGGCUUUUAACUGAAAUAAUAUUAGCUGUGGGUCUGAUGGCAAUUUUAUAUAUAUUUUAAUUGUAUUAGCCGCCCAGAGAACUUUGGGUAGUUUGGGCAGCAUAUAAAUUAAAUAAAUAAAUAAAAUAGUUCUUUUAAAAAAAAACG
rnacentral:lncRNA from 1 species